GACGAACGCUGGCGGCGUGCUUAACACAUGCAAGUCGAACGGAAAGGCCCUGCUUUUGUGGGGUGCUCGAGUGGCGAACGGGUGAGUAACACGUGAGUAACCUGCCCUUGACUUUGGGAUAACUUCAGGAAACUGGGGCUAAUACCGGAUAGGAGCUCCUGCUGCAUGGUGGGGGUUGGAAAGUUUCGGCGGUUGGGGAUGGACUCGCGGCUUAUCAGCUUGUUGGUGGGGUAGUGGCUUACCAAGGCUUUGACGGGUAGCCGGCCUGAGAGGGUGACCGGCGACAUUGGGACUGAGGUACGGCCCAGACUGCUACGGGAGGCAGCAGUGGGGAAUAUUGCGCAAUGGGCGGAAGCCUGAUGCAGAAACGCCGCGUGCGGGAUGACGGCCUUCGGGUUGUAAACCGCUUUCGCCUGUGACGAAGCGUGAGUGACGGUAAUGGGUAAAGAAGCACCGGCUAACUACGUG
rnacentral:rRNA from 1 species